rnacentral:sRNA from 1 species
CGACGUUCAGCCGGCCCGCCUGGUCCUCUCUGCUUCCCCAGGAUGCUGCGCUGGGCCAAGCGACCGAUUCCAAGGAGCCCCUGGGAGAGCUGUGCCCCGACGUCCUGUAUCGUACGGGCCGAACGCUGCACGGCCAGGAGACCUACACGCCGCGACUCAUCCUCAUGGAUCUGAAGGGUAGUUUGAGCUCCCUAAAAGAGGAAGGUGGACUCUACAGGGACAAACAGUUGGAUGCUGCAAUAGCAUGGCAGGGGAAGCUCACCACACACAAAGAGGAACUCUAUCCCAAGAACCCUUAUCUCCAGGACUUUCUGAGUGCAGAGGUGAGGGCCUCUGUCCUGAACUUUUUAACCCAGUGCUACAACCCGAGGGUCUCCAUAGGGGCAGGGAGUGCUGAGUAGUGAUGGUGUUUGGAGGGUCAAAUCCAUUCCCAAUGGCAAAGGUUCCCCACCACUCACCACUGCUACAACUCCAAAACCACUUAUCCCUACAGAGGCCAGCAUCAGGGUCUGGUCAGACUUCCUCAGAGUCCAUCUCCAUCCCCGGAGCAUCUGUAUGAUUCAGAAGUACAACCACGAUGGGGAAGCAGGUCGGCUGGAGGCUUUUGGCCAAGGGGAAAGUGUCCUAAAGGAACCCAAGUACCAGGAAGAGCUGGAGGACAGGCUGCACUUCUACGUGGAGGAAUGUGACUACUUGCAGGGCUUCCAGAUCCUGUGUGACCUGCACGAUGGCUUCUCUGGGGUAGGCGCAAAGGCGGCAGAGCUGCUACAAGAUGAAUAUUCAGGGCGGGGAAUAAUAACGUGGGGCCUGCUACCUGGUCCCUACCAUCGUGGGG